rnacentral:lncRNA from 1 species
CAGACAAACACCUGUGGAGUCUUUCGCAGUACCUGUGGUUUUAUCUGCUUUCAGGUCAGCAAAGAAACAGAAUCCAGAGUUGUGAGCUCUGCACUGUAAAUGUCCCUGAAUCCUGCACUUCGUGAGGAAGCAGCAGUAGCUCCACUGCAAGUCAGUGCUACCUAUGUAGAACUUGAGAACAUCUCUUGCAUAUCUGUCUCCAGGAUUCCCUCCCCUGCAGAACCAUUUCAUAAGGUAGGUAUUGGAUGUCUGAAGCUUCCAAAGUGCUUUGCAGACAUAUAAUCAUUUCUGCCUCUGUGACAUAAGUAAUGCUAAUAUGGGAAACCAAGGCAGAAGCUUGCCUAAGGUCAGGCAAAGAUCAUUCAAAAAUUGAGAGUAAAGCUUCUGCUCUUGGCUCAGACUUGUGUGCUCUCUGAGUCGAUCACAGUAUCUUUCAAAAUAGCUUCCCUGCCUCCACCCUUAGAAAUGUGUGCUCUGGCUUUUGUCAGUAGCAGCCUGCAUCUGCAGCAAAAAAAACAAACAAACAGCCCAACAAAAACCAGUGCAGCUGGAGACUGAAACAUCUUUAGACAGCUGUACCCAAUUCCUGACAAGAUUGCUGUGGUUUGGUGGUGUCCUGCUAUGAGACACACCCUGGAUAGCAGGUAAAGCAAUCUGUGAUCAGAUACAGAGGCUGGAAUGCUGCAGCCAGGGAAGGAGCUGAGGGAUGAUCCAUGGGGACCUUUGCUGCAGUGGGCCAGUGUGAACACAGCUCUCUGUCAGCACUUCAAAACUGAGAAAACUGGAAAGGCACUGGGCAGUUCUUGUCCAAAAGGGACACAAAAAAUCAUGCCAUUAAGAGGACUCAGUGUGUGAAAUUUCUUAAGUCGCUGAUUGCCGAGAGUAUUUAGAGAUAAUCUCUUAAUGCUUCUCCCCAGUAAACAAUAGGACCCAGACUGCCCUCCCGAGGCCUCUGGCCUUUUAUUACAGCCCACACAAAAACUCAUCUGAGAAAGCACUCGGACUUAGUGGAGCAAAGUGUGAACCAGUCUG